rnacentral:rRNA from 1 species
GANUNGNCGAGCCUGAUCAGCCAUGCCGCGUGUGUGAAGAAGGUCUUCGGAUUGUAAAGCACUUUAAGUUGGGAGGAAGGGCAGUAAGUUAAUACCUUGCUGUUUUGACGUUACCAACAGAAUAAGCACCGGCUAACUUCGUGCCAGCAGCCGCGGUAAAU